UACGAAGGGGGGCUAGCGUUGCUCGGAUUUACUGGGCGUAAAGGGCGCGUAGGCGGAUGACCAAGUUGGGGGUGAAAUCCCGGGGCUUAACCUCGGAACUGCCUCCAAAACUGGUCGUCUUGAGUUUGGGAGAGGUGUGUGGAACUCCGAGUGUAGAGGUGAAAUUCGUAGAUAUUCGGAAGAACACCAGUGGCGAAGGCGACACACUGGCCCAAUACUGACGCUGAGGCGCGAAAGCGUGGGGAGCAAACAGG
rnacentral:rRNA from 1 species